CUACGGGCCGCUCCAGUGGGGAAUAUUGCACAAUGGGGGAAACCCUGAUGCAGCAACGCCGCGUGGAGGAUGACGCAUUUCGGUGUGUAAACUCCUUUUAUAUAGGAAGAUAAUGACGGUACUAUAUGAAUAAGCACCGGCUAACUCCGUGCCAGCAGCCGCGGUAAUACGGAGGGUGCAAGCGUUACUCGGAAUCGCUGGGCGUAAAGCGCGCGCAGGCGGCCCCUUAAGUUGGAUGUGAAAGCCUACGGCUUAACCGUAGAACUGCAUCCAAAACUGAGGGGCUAGAGUCUGGGAGGGGAAGAUGGAAUUAGUUGUGUAGGGGUAAAAUCCGUAGAGAUAACUAGGAAUACCAAAAGCGAAGGCGAUCUUCUGGAACAGUACUGACGCUGAGGCGCGAAAGCGUGGGGAGCAAACAGGAUUAGAUACCCUUGUAGUC
rnacentral:rRNA from 1 species